rnacentral:lncRNA from 1 species
UUGCUUUGAAGGAGAUCAGGCACUCACCAGUCAGCAUGAACUGAUAGGCGUUGUCAGAGAUGGAGAAAAUGUGUGGAGGGGCCUCCUGGCGCUUUUUGCCUCGGUAGGCCAACACCACCUCCGGGUUGUACACCGGCAGCCACUUGUAGGGGUUGACAGUGACACAGAAGAGGCCCGAGUAGGUAUAGAUCAUCCAGGCUGCAUAACGCUCUUUGAGGUUGUACAGCACAGCGGGUUCGUGGAGGUGGGUCAUCAUGGCCAUGUCCUCAAUUUUAUCAUACUUGGGAGGGUUCAUGGAGAAGAUUUGAUCUUCCUUCACGGUUAGAG